rnacentral:rRNA from 1 species
GAUGAACGCUGGCGGCGUGCCUAAUACAUGCAAGUCGAGCGAAUAGACGAGGAGCUUGCUCCUCUGACGUUAGCGGCGGACGGGUGAGUAACACGUGGAUAACCUACCUAUAAGACUGGGAUAACUUCGGGAAACCGGAGCUAAUACCGGAUAAUAUAUUGAACCGCAUGGUUCAAUAGUGAAAGACGGUUUUGCUGUCACUUAUAGAUGGAUCCGCGCCGCAUUAGCUAGUUGGUAAGGUAACGGCUUACCAAGGCAACGAUGCGUAGCCGACCUGAGAGGGUGAUCAGCCACACUGGAACUGAGACACGGUCCAGACUCCUACGGGAGGCAGCAGUAGGGAAUCUUCCGCAAUGGGCGAAAGCCUGACGGAGCAACGCCGCGUGAGUGAUGAAGGUCUUCGGAUCGUAAAACUCUGUUAUUAGGGAAGAACAAAUGUGUAAGUAACUAUGCACGUCUUGACGGUACCUAAUCAGAAAGCCACGGCUAACUACGUG